rnacentral:lncRNA from 1 species
UGAAUCAUGAGGACUCAGUAGUACCUAUUCGUCUCUCCAGCCCCUGGUAUUUUAUAUUUAGUGCAUGUAAUACUUCCCUUGUUUUGAUUCUUUAAGAAAAGGGUGUAAAAAGUGAGCCAGUGUUCACAGCAUGUGUGCACAACUCGUGUGUCUUAGGGUGAGUCUCUAUGCCCACAUCACAAGUAGAUGAGGCCAAGGUCCAUCUUACUGCAGUCAUGUGGCUGGCACUUGAGACAAUGUCAGGCAGACUGCAGGCGUCCAUGAAUACUGGCCAGUUACUAAAAGGAGGCCUUUAUUAACAUGCAUUUCUUUUUCUCAUCUUUCCCUUCUACAUCUCCUAAAUUAGUAAAGUCAUCAGGGUUGGAUUUAUAUCUUUUCUUCCUAAAGAUUUGCUAUAUUGAGUUAUCUUUAGAAUUUUCAACUUAGUUUGGCUGGUAUAAACAAAAAGCCAGAUAAGUACCUCUACUAAUUCUACAAGUUAUAAGGAUAUGAGAGUAACCUGGCUGAAACGUCCAUCCUUCUUAGUGUUCACUAUUUAAUGGUAUUCAAGUGUCCUUAGGGACUUUAAUCACGUUUAUAGAUUAGCUUAAAAUAGCUAAGGGAGAAAGCCCUCUUUUGCUAAAUAGAGGCAAGAAGAGCAUGGAGCUGUAUGUUGCUGUCCUAUGCAUCCUGGCUCAGGUACAGAGACCAGUUAUUUGUUCAGGACAACAAGAGUCUGGAAGAUACCCUUGGGAAGAGCACAGGACUCUAGUACCCUGCCAACAGCCUCAUUGGGAGGAUACCCUUGAAGGGGACUAUGAACCUCAAGUCUCUUCUGCCUCCAUUUCAUGUUGGAUUGGAACCUCCAGAAUUGUGAAUCAAAAUAAACCUUUUCUUUCAUUACAGUAAUGGAAAGUUGACUGAGACAGUUUAUUAACUGAAAGUCAUGAUCAUCUCUAUACCACCUGCACUCUUUUCAUUCAUUUCUUUUGUCUUCAACGUACUUUUUGAGGGAGGAGGGCUUGCAAUUAAAGGUUCAAUAAUAUCAACAUUGAAUCAUGGGCACAUGUUGUUAGCUGCUGGAAUAACCAUAUACCAUAAAUUUCAGUUGCAUUUAUACUUUUAACAAAAAAUAAUCAGAAUUCAGGGAAGAAUUCAUCCAAAAAUGAUUACAGAUAUAAGGACAUCUAGGAAGAAGGUACACCUACCUCUUAUGAACAGGUAGUAUAACUGUAGAUGAGUUCAUUUCUCUUUCUGCACUCUAAUAUACCUGAAUUCUCUGCAUUCCUAGUUAUACUUCUUAAAAACAGAAUUUAUUUCUAUUUUGAAGGAAUAUCCUUAAGCAACUGAUACCUAAGAUAUUUGGAGGGAAAAAAAGAGAUUUAAAAAACUUCCCAAAUGAAAUAUUUAAGGAACUUUAGAUUCUUUAUACUAGGGACAGUAUCUCAUAAAUAAAACAUUUAAGAGUUAAAAAAGCAGCCAGGGAUUUAGCUCAGUGGUUCCAGUGCCUGCCUCGCAAGCACAAGGUCCUGAGUUUGAUCCAUGGUAUAUAUAAAAAAAAAAAAACAACAGUUAAAAAAGCAGAAACUGACUUACUGGAUUUUUAGCAGGGUACCUCAUUUAAGAAAGGACCAGAUAGAUGGACAUGGUGGCUCAUAUCUAUAAUUCCAGCACUCUGUGAAGCUCAGGCAAGAGGACUCCAAGUUUAAGCCCAGCUUGGAAACUUAAUGAGACCCUGUCUCAAAAUUUAAAAAAACAAAAACCAAAAAAUGGAUAGAGAUGGGAUGGGGAUGUUGCUUAAUGUGAAGGCCCUGGGGUCACUCUCCAGACACAGACACACACACACACACACACAAGAAAGUAAGGAUCACAUUUUCACUGUGCUGAACAAAACUAUACUAUUUAUAGAGAAACAAACCAAAUGAUACUGAUACUCAGCAAGCCCAGAUGCAGAGAUUGGUCCCUCCUUUUUGUGGAAGUCUCACAGGGCUUCCAAAGAAUCAAGGGACAGAUGAACAAAGGAUGGCAGAGACUCCCUCCCUGUAGAGAGCUCAUACCUGACAUGGUCUGACACUGCAGUGUCAGCUGGAAAAGUAGCAUGUCACAGAUAUCUCACACAUUAAAGUCACCACUCAGCUAAGGUGUGCAUACACACACACAGCUUCUGCUCACUGCUGUGGACAAUUCAAUUUAAUUAACAGAAACAGUAAAUUCGAUUUGUUAUAUAAUGUGAAGAGUACUUGGGCCAGAAUAAGAAGACAACACUAGAUGUGCCCCAUCUGCCAAAAUUGUUUUAUGGAUAUUCCCGCAUGCAUGCUUUACUUUGUCUUUGUAGCAGUUAGCAUCAGGAAACAUACUGUUCACAUUUUUAAUAUAAUCUGUCUCAUCUCCCCCAUUGGCAUGUAGAUUCCAUGCAAGUGGGGGGGGUGUGUCUUUGCUUUGCACACUUCUAUCCUCACAGUGCCAAGGAUGGUAGGAGGCACAUAAUUGCAUCCAAUAUCUAUUUAUUGAAUAAAUAUUCAGUUUCCUACUGAGGGUUCCAGAGGCGAUGGUGGUUGCAGGCAUCCCUCCAAGGCUUUUACUGGCAGGCCAUCACAAAGGCUACUGUGUCCUGUGGCUCCCUUCUGGUUCUUCUUCUCCAUCCCCUAAGUGCUAGGUCUUCAGUGUAUAUCAAUUUAACCCUCUCCUGGCUCAAGCUACCUGAGCAAUACCCUCCACAGCAUGGCUUCGCUGACCACCUGUCUUACUUUUCUCAUUGCUGAGAUAAAAUACCCAACACCUAAAGUUAAAGGAGGAAUGGUUUAUUUGGCUCAAAGUUUGUAGAGGUUUCAGUCCCUAGGUGGCUGGCUCCAAGGCAAGAUGGCAUGGCAGAGGGGCAUCGCAGAGGAGAAACAGUUCAUGGUGACAGAAGGCAGGAAGGAAGCAAGGCAGGAAAGUAGUGAGAAAGCAGCAGCUGGCCUGCCUUCUUUCUGUCCCUUUAUAUUCACCUAGCGUGGGCUUUCAAAUUAUCCCCACCCAGAGCUAUGCCAAACCAAUUGGUGGACUAAUUUAGUAACCACACACCCUUAAUAACAGAAUUACACACUUAAUCCUAGCAUCACACACCCUAGAUCCAGCCACCUCUGAAAAACCCUAUGACUGCAUAGGCUUUGGGGGAACAUCUACAUAUAAGCCAAAACAUCACCUUUAUGUGGAAAAGGCUUAUUUUUGAAAAUUAUAUUUUUCUGCUCACAUAUAAAAAUGUAAGAUUCAAUUCCCAGUACAAAAAUAAAAAAAUAAAAAUAAAAAUGUAAGAUUCUUAAGAGCCUAUGUGUCUGAUGAUGAAAAAAUUUUUAUUAUGGCCCUGACAAAGAAAUGUAAGGGCAAGCCUGGGCUCUUGGUCCAUUUACAGAACAUUUAACUUUUAUAAAAUUAAAAAUGAUCCUUUAGAGACAAGAAUAGACAAAGCAGUACCUGAUGAAUUGUCAAAUGAACUUAUGAAUAAUUACUGGCAUGACGUGGGUAGGAUUCUAAUCUUUAUUGGGAGGGAUACACAUGAUCUCACCAUAUUCUAAAAACACCUACUUCACUGGAUUGCUAUAUGUACUUAAGCAGCCAAAGGACACACAUGGGUAAGCAUAGAAGCUGAGGACUCCAACCCACAUCUUUCCACUCCCACAUCUGUGCCCUUCCAGCUGUGGGUUGUUUAGGAAGGAAAGGACUUGGAACAAUAGGUGGUAUGCAUAUAAUCUGUGUGUGCAUGUGUGUGUUAAACUAACAAGAACAACUAGGGGAGUGUAGCACUGACCUGAAUGGCCAAGACUGUGUGGUGUGAGGUGGGAGGGCAGCCAAUGAUGGUUCUGGUGGCGGCUUCUGGAUGGAGGCUAACAGCCCCCAGUUUCCUUCUUCUCUACAGAUCCCGUCCCAACCCCACCUAAUGGUUGACCAACAGGGGCACAAAAGGCUGGCCCCCACCUCAGGGUGGGAUGACCUGUGAGUGGAAGCCCUCCCUGCCCCUGGGCCCCCUAAGGGCCAGUGAGUUCUAGUAUGGUUUGGCUCCAUUCUUGGCGAGCUCCCUCCAUCAGGAGAUCAGGAGCCCUGACCCCAUCAGGGUUCAUUUCCAGGACAGGUGGUUAGGUUACAACACCAAGUCAGGGAAGAGUGCACGGGUAAGGACAAUCCUGAUAAGACACCCUUGAGAAAUUUCUUCAGGGUGGGGGACAUGAAAGGUGGAGAAAAAUCCCUGGGGCCAAUCCUGAGGGCCUCAGGGAAGAUGGCACAGCAGUGGGAGGAAGGGGGCUUCUGGAUGCAGGGCUGACAGGGCUGGAGAUGAUCAGACGAGACAAGAGAGGAGGAUGGUGGAGCCCUCUGCCAGGAGGAGGAGGAAACGUGGUGGCAAUAGUCAGUUCAGCCUUGCUGAGGCACAAACACCUGCGGGCCACCAGGUAGACAGUUCCAUGGACAGCAGAAAACCCAGGCCAGGGGCCCUGAAGAGCAGCCUAAACUGGAGUCUCAGGGGUUGGUUGUGUACAAAACACCUAGAUCAAGCAGGGGUCUAUUUUCUCCCAGCACAGAAAGUCUUGGGAUAGCAGCUAUGGCACAGCAGCUCUGUGAUGGCAUGGACAUCCCCAGCUCCUGCCAUCUUCUGCUCUUCUGGCAUUAGCAUGUAGCUAACCUCUGCUCCGUCUUCCAAGCAGGAAGGAGAUGAGGGAGAGACAGGGAGGAAGUGGCAGGUCCUGGAUCAGGAGAGGGAAACCUUUCCCAGGGACCCCAACAGGUUCCAUUUGUAUCUCUUUGGCCAGAAUAUCAUGGCUCCUUCCAGUCACAAAGUUGGCUGUGGCUUUUUAAAAGAUGAGCAGGCUGAUUCUUCUGGGUUCUGCCAGAAAGGAAGGGGAGAAGAGCCUUUAGCAGGCUACAGUAGGGUCUUCCAUAGCCAAACAUAAGGACCUGGGGCCACCUACUUGAAAGAAAAAGAUCUCCAAGUGGAAGAACAAAGCGUAGGUUGAACUUUGGAAAUGCACCCUUGAAGAGCUUGGAGAAAAAGAAAAGGAAAUCUUAAGUAAAAUGUGUAACUUUUUUUUUUUUUUGGUACUGGGGAUCAAACUCAGGAUCUUGAGCUUGCGAGGCAGGCGGGGGAACCACUGAGCUAAAUCCCUGGCUCAAAAAUGUGUAACUUUGAUGUGACAGUUCCAGGUAUAACCCUGUAAAAUUCUAAUUUUAUUGUUGUUGUUUUAGACAGGGGCUUGCUAUGUAGUUCAGGCUGGCUUCAAGCUCACUAUGUAGCCCAGGCUGGUCUUGAACUCAUGGCAAUUCUCCUGCCUCAGCCUCUUGAGUACUGGGAUUACAGGCAUGUGCCACCAUGCCUGCUUGAAAUUCUAGUUAUUUUAAAAAGCAAGCCGGGGAUUUAGCUCAGUGGUUUCGUCACCUGCUGUGCAAGCGCAAGGACCCGAGUUUGAUCCUCGGUACCAAAUAAAAAGCAGCACCCCAGUUUUUAAAUAAAAUGGAUCUUAAAUUCUUUACCUGAAAAAAAUAAUAUGGGUGCCCCUAAUGAAUGUUUUAAAAGAGUAAUUUGUAAAAGUUUCAUUAAUCACUCCAGUGUGCUAUAGAAGGAAGCAGAGGUACAAGGACAGUCUGAGUCCCAGCUUUCUGGAAACCCAAGGGAUAGGGAAAUGGUAACAGAAGGGUGGUGAGAGCUGUGUGGAAGUGGGGGCUUUCAGCAGCAUGUGUCGACACUGAGCCAGACACUGAAAGGUUUCCUACUCCACCCAUAGGCACAAGGACAAGGCUGGCAGCUUGGAGUAGGUACAUUCUGAUCCUG